rnacentral:rRNA from 1 species
AGCUGAAUAGCUAGCUAAGACACUAAAACGCAACAACCCAAUAUUAAUAAACCCUAACAACCUAAUCAACCUAAAACAAACCAUUUUACCCCCUAAGUAUGGGAGACAGAAAAGGAAACACUAAGCAAUAGAGAAAGUACCGCAAGGGAAAGCUGAAAGAGAAAUGAAACAAAUCAGUGAAGCACAGAGAAGCAGAGCUAAAACCUCGUACCUUUUGCAUCAUGAUUUAGCAAGAAAAACUCAGGCAAAAAGCAUUAUAGUCUGAUUCCCCGAAACCAAGUGAGCUACUCCAAGACAGCCUUAUGGGCGAACCCGUCUCUGUGGCAAAAGAGUGGGACGAGCUUUGAGUAGAGGUGACAGACCUACCGAACUUGGUUAUAGCUGGUUGUCCAAGAACUGAACAGGAGUUCAGCCCUUUAACUUCUUUCCCCAAUAACCCUCUCAUCACACCUACGUGCAAAAGAAACUAAAGGAGUUAAUCAAAGGGGGUACAGCCCCUUUGAUAACAGACACAACUUUACCAGAAGGGUAAAGAUCAUAUCACAAACAAGGAGUAGUGUUCUAGUUGGCCUAAAAGCAGCCACCCAUGCAGAAAGCGUUAAAGCUCAUACACCUCCCCCGCCUAUUAUUCAGACCAACCGAUUCUUACCCCUCUACCCCUAUUGGACCUCUCCAUUUUCAUGGAAGAGAUUAUGCUAGAAUGAGUAAUAAGAGACCAAUGCAUCUCUCCUUGCACAAGUAUAAAUCGGAACGAACCCACACCGAAAAUUAACGGCCCCAAAGAAGAGGGAAUUAGGACAACAGGGAUAAACCUCAAGAAAAAGACCUAAAACGAAACCGUUGACCUUACACUAGCGUGCCCACAAGGAAAGACUAAAAGAAAAAGAAGGAACUCGGCA